UUAUAUAUUCUUUGAUUAGGUUUGAAAUAUUACGUGAAAUCAACAUCUGGUUUGAUCUAUAUUAUUAUUUCUCUAAUGUAUAGUAGAUUAUCUGUUAUAUUAAGUGUUCCAUAAUUUUAGUAGUACUAAAAUGUGAUCAAUGAGUGUCUUAGAUUGAUAUGCAAUAGUAUUUUGUGUAAAUAAAAUGUAGUAAUAAUAUUAAUUUCAAACAAUUUUCAUGGUUUAAUAAAAUACAUAUUUUGUCGAUAAAUCUUUUUAUUUUAUUUUAUGCAUUUCAUCAAUUAGAUAAUAUACUUCUUUGUUUCAAAAUAAAAAUAUAAUAUACUUCUAUAAAUUGAGAUUUGUCAAAAAAAAAAAGAUAAUAUACUUCUAUAAAUUGAGAUUUGUCAAAAAAAAAGAAGAUAAUAUACUUCUAUAUAAACAAAGUUGCAUAUACAUGUCUUUAUUUUCAAAAGAUUUUAUUGUGUAUAUCAUAUUUUUUUCUUUAUAAGUGAUAUUUUACUUAAAUUGUUUUAGAAUUUCCUAUAACAGGUAAUUAUGAAACACCUACAUUUAUGUAGAGAGAGUAAUAACAAUAAAUAGUUCUAUUCGGGUAGCUAAAUUACAUCACAUUCAUUUCUAAUAAAUCAAUCCACAACAAAAAUAUCAAAUACCAAAGAUAUGAAGAGUUUCUUUGGAGUUGUGGUGUUUCACUUCUUAUUUCUUACGUUAUCGUUAGCAAUUCGCGAAAUUGAAGUGAAGAGAUUGGUUCCAACUGGUCCAAACAAUGAAACAUCUCCAGUUUCUCCACCAGAUUCAAUAGUGAAUUUUAGAAUUAAGAGACUGGUUCAAAGCGGCUCCAACAAUGAAACGUCUUCACAUUCCAUAGUGAAUUUCAGAGCUAAGAGAUUGGUUCCAAGCGGCCCAAACAAUGAAACGUCUUCGCCUUUUCCACCGCAUUCCAAAAGCUUUUAAAAAUCAACUAAAGAAUCUUUGGUUUAAAAUGGUUAAAUGAAACUAUCAACUAUGUUCAUCCGAGAAGAAAAUAAUGUUAUUUCUUGUUUGCUCUGCGUCACAAGUUGAACUAUGCUAAUAGGCUAAUAGCCA